UACGUAGGGGGCAAGCGUUGUCCGGAAUCAUUGGGCGUAAAGCGCGUGUAGGCGGCCUUGUAAGUCCGUUCUGAAAGUCCGGGGCUCAACCCCGGGAGGCGGAUGGAUACUGCAAGGCUCGAGUCCGGAAGAGGGGGGCGGAAUUCCCAGUGUAGCGGUGAAAUGCGUAGAUAUUGGGAGGAACACCAGUGGCGAAGGCGGUCCCCUGGGCCGGAACUGACGCUGAGGCGCGAAAGCGUGGGUAGCAAACGGGG
rnacentral:rRNA from 1 species